GGUGGGUUGCCCGAGCGGCCUAAGGGAACGGUCUUGAAAAACGUGAGGACGUGAAAGCGUCCCCGUGGGCUCGAAUCCCACCACCUCCG
rnacentral:tRNA from 1 species